rnacentral:lncRNA from 1 species
GUAAAAUAAAGGCCCAUCGACAACUUAAACAAUAUAUUUUGUUAAAUUUAAUAGUUAUUUUCAGCCUUUCUUUCUUUCUCACAGUCUAGGUUCUUCCUGGACCGAGUCUGUGCAUUUAACUUUUUUUUUUCUUUUUUUGUAGCAGGGAUUUAAUCAGGGGUGCUUAUCCACUGAGCCAUAUCCAUAGCCCUUUUUUUAAUAUUUUAUUUUGAGAUAGAGUCUCACUAAGUAGCUCAGGGCCUCCCUGAGUUGCUGAGGCUGGCCUCCAAUUUGCGAUCCUCCUGCCUUAGCCUCCCGCCUUAGCCUCCCAAGUUCCUGGGCUCACAGGUGUGUGUCAUCACAGGUGGCUGCAUUUAACAUUUUAAAGUAUUUCCCUCUCAUAGCUCUUCUGGGCCUAGGUGUGUGUGUGUGCAAAAAUUGAAGUUCUUAUUAAAAUGAAAGAGGGAAGAAUUUUGCUUCUUUGCUUUCUGUCUUAGUCUAAUUCUUUUGUGUGUUUGCAGCAACAAGCACCAUGUUUUUCCAUUCCUCUUUCUGGAACCAGACCUAUAUUGAGGUUAAUACAAAAAGGAAGUCUCUUUUUGAGGGCCAGCGGUUGACAUUCCUUACAAGUCAUAAUAUAUUCCUUCUUCUUGGCUCAAGCAUGUUGAUUGCAAAGCUCAGAGUUAGGAAAUAGACACAGUGCCAUGACAGCGGUGACACAACAAGGUGAAAGUGUCUCUCCCUCAAAUGUGAAAGUCCAAGCUUUCCCAAUCACUCACCCUUUUUUUUUUGGUACAGAUCUCACUAAGUUGCUGAGGCUGGCCUCCACCUUGCAAUCCUCCUGCCUCAGCCUCCCAAGCCACUGGGAUUAGAGGCGUGCUCCACCACACCAGGCUUAAUGGCUGUUUUGAGAAAUCAUCACACAUUCAAGUAUCAUCUGUUUUGUCACUUCACCUCUUAGAAGUGGCCAUCAUUUAAAAAGUUUUAAAAUGGAUGACCACCACACCCAAUACCAGCCAUUGGGGAGGGGAGCAGCCCUGUUUUUGCAGUUCAGGAGAUCCAUCCCGGGGCUGCAUGCAUGCUUAACAAGCAUUCUACCACCGAGCAACAUCUGCAGUCUCACAACCCUCAUUUUUAAGAGUUUGACCUAGAAGUUGAUUCUCCACUGAGCAUCCACAUGUUCAGAUAGAAAUUGAGGGUCUUGGGGCUGGGGCUGUGGCUCAGUGGUAGAGCACUCGCCUAGCAUGUGUGAGGCACUGGGUUCCAUUCUCAGCACCACGUAGAAAUAAAUGAAUAAAGUAAAAGUCCAUCAACAUCCAAUUUUUUUUAAAUGAAUGAACAAAAUUAAGUAUCGUGUGCAUCUACAACUAAAAAAGAAAUUCUUUUUAAAAAAUUGAAAGGUCUUGCUGGGUGCAGGGGCGCACACCUGUAAUUCCAGCAACUCAGGAGUCUGAGGCAGGAGGAUUGCAAGCUGGAGGCCAGCCUCAUCAACUUAGCGAUUGAAAAAUAAUAAGACCUGGGGAUGUGGCUCAUUGGUAAACACUCCUGAGUUCAAUCCCUAGUAUCAGAAGCAAAAACAGUGGGUUGGGGUCAUAGCUCACCUCAUGUGCAAGACCCUGGGUUUGAUCCUCAGCACCACGUAAAAAAUAAAUAAAAUAAAAGUGCUGUGUCCAUCUGCAAUUAAAAAAAAACAUUUAAAAAAAUUUUGGGGUGGUCUUUGGCCUGGGAUCUGAGUAUAUGCUUAGCAUUUUGGAGACCCAGGGUUUUCUACCAGCAUAGGAAGAAAAUUAAAGUUCUUAUUACAAUGAAAGAGGUGAAGAAUUUAGCUUCUUUGCUUUUUUUGUCUAGUAUCUUUUGGGUUGAGGGGGCACCAGGGAUUGAACUCAGGGUCACUCGACCUCUGAGCCCCAUCUCCAGCCCUAUUUUGUAUUUUAUUUAGAGACAGGGUCUCACUGGGUUGCUUGGGGCCUUGCUUUGGCUGAGGCUGGCCUCCACCUUGCGAUCCUCCUGCCUCAGCCUCCCAAGUCGCUGGGAUGACAGGUGUGCACCACCACGCCUGGGAAAUUUUUUGUUUAUUGUGACACAAGAAAGUGCUCAGAAGAAAACCAAAGUGGAAAAAGAGGAUAGAGGUGAAGAUGGUCCCGUAGAGAUUAGAUGGUGAGGAGCAAUGCGGCUGAGGUGGUGAGAGGUCAGGAAGCUACAGAGUGCCCCAGGCAGGGAGGGGGGGAGAUGAGUUCUCUGAGGUGGAAUGUGCCUGGCCCAUUUGAGGAACAGUGUGUCAGGAUCAGGUUCCUGGAACUGAAAUCAGAGAGUGAGUGGAAACUAGAUCACGCAGAGCCCAGUAGGCAAGAGGAGGCUGGGGGCAGGUGUUGAGAGAGAGAGAGAUUUAUUGAUUGAUUGACUUUUGGUAUCAGAGGUUGAACCCAGAAGCACUUAACCACUGAGCCCCAUCCUCAGCCCUUUCUGGGAUUUUAUUUGGAGACGCGGUCUCUCUGAGUUGCUGAGGCUGGCCUCCGACUUGCCAUCCUCCUGCCUCAGCCUCCAGAGCUGCUUAGGAUUACAGGUGGGCACCUCCACGUAUCUGGCUGUGUCAGACCCUCUGUUCAAUCCCCAGUUCUGCAACAACAUCAGGGACAAAAGUCCCAAGUUCAAGGACAGCACAGACCCUCUCUCAAAAUAAACAGGAUGCAGGAUGUGGUGGAGCACACCUGUCACCCCAGUG